rnacentral:rRNA from 1 species
AUUGAACGCUGGCGGCAGGCUUAACACAUGCAAGUCGAGCGGGGUGAUGGUGCUUGCACUAUCACUUAGCGGCGGACGGGUGAGUAAUGCUUAGGAAUCUGCCUAUUAGUGGGGGACAACAUCUCGAAAGGGAUGCUAAUACCGCAUACGUCCUACGGGAGAAAGCAGGGGAUCACUUGUGACCUUGCGCUAAUAGAUGAGCCUAAGUCGGAUUAGCUAGUUGGUGGGGUAAAGGCCUACCAAGGCGACGAUCUGUAGCGGGUCUGAGAGGAUGAUACGGCACACUGGGAAUGAGACACGGCCCAGACUCCUACGGGAGGCAGCAGUGGGGAAUAUUGGACAAUGGGGGGAACCCUGAUCCAGCCAUGCCGCGUGUGUGAAGAAGGCCUUGUGGUUGUAAAGCACUUUAAGCGAGGAGGAGGCUCUUUUGGUUAAUACCCAAGAUGAGUGGACGUUACUCGCAGAAUAAGCACCGGCUAACUCUGUGCCAGCCGCCGCAGUAAAAC